rnacentral:rRNA from 1 species
UACAGAGGUCCCGAGCGUUGUUCGGAUUCACUGGGCGUAAAGGGUGCGUAGGUGGCAUGGCAAGUUUGAUGUGAAAGCUCAGGGCUUAACCCUGAAAUGGCAUUGAAUACUGCUGUGCUGGAGGUUUGGAGGGGGGGACUGGAAUUCUUGGUGUAGCAGUGAAAUGCGUAGAUAUCAAGAGGAACACCAGUGGCGAAGGCGAGUCCCUGGACAACACCUGACACUGAGGCACGAAAGCCGGGGGAGCAAACAGG